rnacentral:rRNA from 1 species
UACGUAGGUGGCGAGCGUUGUCCGGAAUUAUUGGGCGUAAAGAGCGUGUAGGCGGUUCGGUAAGUCUGCCGUGAAAACCUGGGGCUCAACCCCGGGCGUGCGGUGGAUACUGCCGGGCUAGAGGGUGGUAGAGGCGAGUGGAAUUCCCGGUGUAGCGGUGAAAUGCGCAGAUAUCGGGAAGAACACCUAUGGCGAAGGCAGCUCUCUGGGACGGUACUGACGCUGAGACGCGAAAGCGUGGGGAGCGAACAGG